rnacentral:lncRNA from 1 species
GUCUUGGGUCAUGGGUCACCAUUUCCUUCACCUCUCAGUUUUUAGGAUCCUACUCUCAGUUACAUAAAAUCGGAGUGAAAUCACAGCCUGGAUAUGGCUGGGGGACAGGUCCACCCUCAGCACCUGUCCAGGGUCCAGGCACGUGAACUAGGAACAUGGACAUCUGCAAAGUGCUUCCUCUUUGGUGGCAGCGGCUCCACCUCCACCCUGCAGAUGCCCUCUGAGCUCUUCCUUGAGUUGCCAGCACCUUGGAUCUCACUCCUGCUUUUCGUCUCAUUCUAAACUUAACAAGGCUGGAGUCUAUGUUCUUGUGAAAGUCUGUGCUGACCUGGGCUGCCCUUUUAACUAAGCCUGGACAGUAAGAAUCAUCUGAGGGGUGGAAUUGUCUCACUGUGGGAUCAAGCUAACCAUGCAUGCCACAGCCUGCAUUCCCUGUCCACCACAGUGCACCAUGAGAUGCUGUGUCCAAGGCCUGCUGCAACCAAGAGGCACCAGGACGGCAGUGGCUACUCCUUUUUCCUGCCUCAUGCCCUUUGACUAGAACUUU